GUAGUCCAUGCCGUAAACGUUGGGCACUAGGUGUGGGGCUCAUUCCACGAGUUCCGUGCCGCAGCUAACGCAUUAAGUGCCCCGCCUGGGGAGUACGGCCGCAAGGCUAAAACUCAAAGGAAUUGACGGGGGCCCGCACAAGCGGCGGAGCAUGCGGAUUAAUUCGAUGCAACGCGAAGAACCUUACCAAGGCUUGACAUAUACCGAAAACUCGUGGAGACACGGGGUCCGCAAGGGCGGUAUACAGGUGGUGCAUGGUUGUCGUCAGCUCGUGUCGUGAGAUGUUGGGUUAAGUCCCGCAACGAGCGCAACCCUCGUCCUAUGUUGCCAGCACGUCAUGGUGGGGACUC
rnacentral:rRNA from 1 species